rnacentral:lncRNA from 11 species
GUACUGUUGUGAUUCCAACUAUGUGUUGGCACUGAAUUGUUGCCAUUGCUGUAAGCCGCCCUGAGUCCCUCUGGGAAAUAAAUAAAUUUCUUCUUCUUCUUCUUCUUCUUCUUCUUCUUCUUCUUCUUCCUAGAAACACCAUGAAGCGACUGGUGCAUUACCAGUGCUGCACAUGGAGCGAAGGGGUGGAGCUCCCACCAAUCCAGCCAACGACCACCUACCACAGGGUCAGCAGCCGCCCGCUGGAGCGCCCGUCCCCGCUGCCGCCGCCUGUCCCUGCCCACCACCACCACCCCGUGGCACCGGCCGGGCCUCGUCGUGCACGCUGGGAGCCGGCCGCCCACCGUGCCGACGAGGCCCGCGCCAGGAAGACCGGCCUGGCGUUCCAAAAAUUAGAGGAGGCUGCCUGGCGUAUUUAUAGAGACCACCACGAGCGGCAGUGGGCGGCGAUGAAGGAAGGCCGGUGCGAUGUGGUGGCCCUGCGCGAGGCCCAGCGGACGGCCCUCGUCGCCCUCUUCCGCCGCUUCCUCUUCUUUGAGUUGCCAAGGCUCAAGGUGCACUCCCGGCGGGCCCGUGACGCCCAGGAGCGGCUCUUGGCCCUCCUGGAAGCUGAGGUCCGCCGGGGGUGCCCUUGGAGGAAGAUCAGCUUAUUAAUCCAACGGGCCGAAGAAGAGGAGGCGGCGGAGGAGGGCGGCGAGGAGGGCGAGGCGGCGCAGGAGGUGCAGCAACACCCACCCUCGCCUCCCCGCCUCGCCACCGUCCGCCUGUCACCACCCUGCCAGCCUCGGCCACCACCUCCCCGGCCUUCCUUCACCGCCGCCCAAGCUCGCCGCCGCAGCCUCCUCGGACGCCAGGCCAGGGCCACCGUGGGCAGGGACCCACACCAAGGCGGCGGCAGUGGCAGCGGACAAGGCCUCCAGCUGGCGGUCGUCGGGAAGGCCGUUGCCAAGAGGCCGUGAGCCCCCCGCCCAGCUCCAACGGCGAGGGUCCGGAGGGGAGGCCGGGGGUCGGGCCGGAUCUUGGGGCGGACACAAGGGGUUGGUGGCGCGCCCCUCUCCACAUCUGCUGCCGGGGCCCCUGAAGAACGUGGUGCCGCUCCACCUGCUGAGCACCACCACCAGACCCAGACGCAGGCCGCCGGCCAGGCCAGACCCCCACCAAGAUGGCCGCCCCCACCCCUCCGGUGAGCCCAGACCCCCCCUCCUUCCGGGGUCACCUCGGGAGGCCUGCUUCUUGGCCGCCUCGUGGAGGAGAGUGCACACUCGACUGACGGGCGCUGUGUUGUGUCUCCCGUGUGCCCUUGCAGCCACAACCUGGUGCAGACGUGCUGGCAGGACAACCCCACGGUGCGCCCCUCCCUCCCCGAGGACCUCCACCCCACUUCCUGUGAGGCCUCCUUCCUGGACAGCGAGGAGGAGAACAAG